GCGUCUCACGGGUCCCAAACUCGCAACCGCGAGAAGAAUUCUGUUGACAUGUCAAAGCAUAACUAGGAGAGGAAACCAGGUUAAUUCCACGGCGAUCCGCUAGAGAUGGAAAUCAAAGAGGCGCGAUCGUGAUGUGCCAAAAAAAAAAAAAAAAAUCUUGGCGAGAUCGUGAAGGAGCGUCCAAAAGGCCAAUAAACAGCUAUCCAGCGGAGGGUAGCCGGGUGCGCGGUGGAGCCGAGACCGGCGGUUAGGUUGAAGCCUGGGCACCACCAACGAAGACGGUACUCCUCGCUUUCUUCUCCUCCUUUUUCCUUUCUUGAAAUCCUAUUCUUGAACCCCUUCCCACCUCCAUCCUUUCCUCUCUUCCCGGUCUUUCCGCCGCCCGGCACCGCCUCCUCCUACCAUCCCGGAUCUCGGGCUUGCCGCGGCGGCGGCGGCGAUCGGUGUACCUUGGCGGAUCCUAGGGCUGCCGGCAGAUAGAUCGGAGGUGGUGGUGAGAUUUAAGGAUGAAAGUAUACCCUUCUCCUUCCAUUCUCAACCUGAAUCGGGUCGACGGACUCGUCCGGAUCCUGUUGUCUCUAGGUACCAUCACAAGGGCUCGUAUCAAGCAAGAUUCGCGCAAGAUCCACUCUGAUGCCACCUCGUAGCAGCUAAACUUCUGUGAAAAUCAUCUUU
rnacentral:lncRNA from 1 species